UGAAGUUGUAUUUCCUUCAGCAUGAAUAAGUCCUCCCAAAAAGUUGUGUUUCUUUUGUAUUAGGUGUGCUUCUUCUGUGAGGGUGUAGAUAUUAACUUUGGAGAUGUCUUUAGUUUGUUGGGUUGGAAGGAAGACGGCAUCUUGAGCGUGUAAGUGUUAGCCUCCUCGCUCGGCUACCCCUUUUGGCUAUAAGAGAUGAGAAGUCUUGGGCUUUAUCUCUUCCUUUUCUUUUCUUUCCCCAUAGUCUCAGA
rnacentral:misc_RNA from 1 species